rnacentral:rRNA from 1 species
GAUGAACGCUGGCGGCGUGCCUAAUACAUGCAAGUCGAGCGAACAGACGAGGAGCUUGCUCCUCUGACGUUAGCGGCGGACGGGUGAGUAACACGUGGAUAACCUACCUAUAAGACUGGGAUAACUUCGGGAAACCGGAGCUAAUACCGGAUAACAUGUUGAAACGCAUGGUUCAACAGUGAAAGACGGUCUUGCUGUCACUUAUAGAUGGAUCCGCGCCGCAUUAGCUAGUUGGUAAGGUAACGGCUUACCAAGGCAACGAUGCGUAGCCGACCUGAGAGGGUGAUCGGCCACACUGGAACUGAGACACGGUCCAGACUCCUACGGGAGGCAGCAGUAGGGAAUCUUCCGCAAUGGGCGAAAGCCUGACGGAGCAACGCCGCGUGAGUGAAGAAGGUCUUCGGAUCGUAAAACUCUGUUAUUAGGGAAGAACAAAUGUGUAAGUAACUAUGCACGUCUUGACGGUACCUAAUCAGAAAGCCACGGCUAACUACGUG